rnacentral:rRNA from 1 species
AGAGUUUGAUCCUGGCUCAGAUUGAACGCUGGCGGCAUGCCUUACACAUGCAAGUCGAACGGUAACAGGUCUUCGGACGCUGACGAGUGGCGAACGGGUGAGUAAUACAUCGGAACGUGCCCAGUCGUGGGGGAUAACUACUCGAAAGAGUAGCUAAUACCGCAUACGAUCUGAGGAUGAAAGCGGGGGACCUUCGGGCCUCGCGCGAUUGGAGCGGCCGAUGGCAGAUUAGGUAGUUGGUGGGAUAAAAGCUUACCAAGCCGACGAUCUGUAGCUGGUCUGAGAGGACGACCAGCCACACUGGGACUGAGACACGGCCCAGACUCCUACGGGAGGCAGCAGUGGGGAAUUUUGGACAAUGGGCGAAAGCCUGAUCCAGCAAUGCCGCGUGCAGGAUGAAGGCCUUCGGGUUGUAAACUGCUUUUGUACGGAACGAAAAAGCUUCUCCUAAUACGAGAGGCCCAUGACGGUACCGUAAGAAUAAGCACCGGCUAACUACGUGCCAGCAGCCGCGGUAAUACGUAGGGUGCGAGCGUUAAUCGGAAUUACUGGGCGUAAAGCGUGCGCAGGCGGUUAUGUAAGACAGAUGUGAAAUCCCC